rnacentral:misc_RNA from 2 species
UCGAGUUUUGAACGGGUUGUAGCUGGCCUUUAACGAGGUAUGUGCACGCCUGGCUCAUCCACUCUCAACCUCUGUGCACUUUAUGUAAGAAACGGUGUAAGCCAGCUAUUUAUUAGUUGGUAAUAAGCCUUUCUUAUGUUUACUACAAACGCUUCAGUUAUAGAAUGUUUACUGUGUAUAACACAAUUAUAUA